CCUACGGGAGUCAGCAGUGAGGAAUAUUGGUCAAUGGACGAGAGUCUGCACCAGCCAAGUAGCGUGAAGGAUGACUGCCCUAUGGGUUGUAAACUUCUUUUAUAUGGGAAUAAAACGUUCCACGUGUGGGAUUUUGUAUGUACCAUAUUAAUAAGGAUCGGCGAACUCCGUGCAAGCAGCCGCGGUAAUAAGGAGGAUCCGAGCGUUAUCCGGAUUUAUUGGGUUUAAAGGGAGCGUAGGUGGAUUGUUAAGUUAGUUUGGAAAGUUUGCGGCUCAACCGUAAAAUUGCAGGUGAAACUGGCAGUCUUGAUUACAGUAGAGGUGGGCGGAAUUCGUGGUGUAGCGGUGAAAUGCUUAGAUAUCACGAAGAACUCCGAUUGCGAAGGCAGUUCACUGGACUGCAACUGACACUGAGGCUCGAAGUGUGGGUAUCAAACAGGAGUAGAUACCCCGGUAGUC
rnacentral:rRNA from 1 species